CAAGCAAUUUACAACAAAUUAAAAGUAUGAUGAUUGAUCCAAACCAAAUUAAUGAACUGUCCAAACCUUUUUAUUUUCCUUUUUUCUGUUUCAGUUCUCUCGCGGUCAACAGUCAACGAUUUAAAAUUCCUACUACGUUGUUCUUAGAAUUGGUUUGUGAAUUUAAAAAUUGAUAAACGAAUUAAAAUUACCAUUUCUCCAUUACUAUUUUCUCUCAAGUUUUGAAACCCACAGUAUCCCGCUCACAGCUCACUCACUCUCUCUCUCUCUCUCUCUAAGCUCUGUUCUCUCUUUUGGGGAAGCCUUUUUGGAGCUUUGAGGAUGAGAAAACCAGGUCCCAUUCAUAACCAUUUGCACAUAUAUAUAUUUAUAUAUAUAUUAACGUAGAAUGUAUAUGUUCUUGAAUUUUGAUACAUUUAGUUUACUGGCAGCAGAAUGACUAGGGCUCAUUGAUUUUCUUAUAAUGUUCCGAAAUUUUGACGUUUCGAUCGUCAGUAUGUUAAAUGGAGUCAUAACUUGUUUGUUAAUGAGAAGAAGCGGCGACGAUUCGGAGAGGCUAAGAGAAACUAAGCUAUGGAUUCUUUUGAAGGAUUUUUUUUGUUAUUUGUGGCACUUACUCUUACUCAGAGUAUAGCAUGACCACUCUGAGUCAAGAUUUGAGUUUAUUGAAAUUUUAUUUUUGGAAAUAUUGAAUAAGAAUGAAAAAUAAGACCCAUGAUUUUAUUUCCUUUAUUUAUCUCAUUUAGAUUUGAAUUUGAGUUACUGCCUAAUUCUCCGGACGGCGAUGAGUUAUUGUUUUGGCAAAUCUUGAAGCUUAACUUUUGUCAACCAUUUUUCUGAUUUUGGGGUUUGGCUUCUUCUCAUUCAUUUCCAUCUUCUUAAAUUCGAGUAUUUUCAAGCUUUUAUAUGUCUUUGUAGCUUAUAAUUAUCAUUGUUAUAUAUAUAUAUAUUUGUAAAACAUCUUUGUAGGUUAUAUUGUUUAUAGGUCUGUUUAUUCCUUGAAAUUCUUUUCAACCAAACAUUUCAUCAGAAGAAGGAACGCUGCAAUCAGUUUCCCAAGGUCAACCUAGUGUGCAAAAUUUGAUGAUUCUUUGUCUUUAAUCUUUGGCAUAUAUUCUUUUUUCUCUUCACUUAUACUGAAUCAGUAUGAUGCAUGAGUUGCCUGAUAACCAAAGCAAAUAUGGUAUAGGCAUUUGAAAGCGUUUCAUGAGUGUUGUAAAACUAUUUAAUUAUAUCAUCGCUAGGAUUUUGUUCUCAAGAUGAUUAUUACAGUUCAUUGUAUGUAGGCUCUCUGUAGAUUUCAUUAUUAACAGGAUUGAUAAAACUUCUUGUUUCCAUUCCCAUCUUUCUUUAUACAUAGUGUGUUGUGUGUACCAACGAGGUUUUGGCUCGUACUACUUGUUCUUAAAUUCAAUUGCUUGAUUUGAUAAUUUUGCAGCAGGCAUAAGUUGUUUAGUUAAAGUUUCAUGCUUUGUUUUGCUUUUCUCCAGGGAUUAUUAAUAUGAGAAAAGAAAAUCUUGUUUCUGCCAAAGUUGGCGGUCUCAAUGGUUGUAUCACACGUGAUCGAGCUUAUGCUUUGCGCGCAUAUGGACAGAAAGUCCCUUUAAAAGCACUUUCACAACAAGCUCCAAAAAUGCGGCGAAAUACAGGAAAAGCAGCCUUCGAUAAUGCAAAGCUAACGCAAAAU
rnacentral:lncRNA from 1 species